CUAUUCAACCAUGUUUAUAUAUUCAAUAUUACGUGUUAAAAAAGUAGAAAUAAUCUUUGUCUAUUUUUUUUAAUAUUGUAGGUAUUAUGAUUUUUUUGGUCUUCAAAUUUUAUCAAAUAUAUAUAUAUAUAUAUAUUUAGCCUUAGUUCCAUCCUUUUUAGUUUUUAAAUUUGUGUUAUUUAUCAAAUCACUCCAAAUGAAUAAAAAAGUUAAUAUUUGUUAACUUUGUUGACAUGGUAUACACGUAGAUUACCACGAGUAUACCAUGUUAGCAAUUAUAAUUGAUUUUUAAAAUAUUUUAAAAAUUAUUUUUAAAUAUUUUUUUAAAAAAGCUUUUAUAAUUUUUUUUAAUUUUAAAAGAUUAAUUAAUUGAUGACGUGGCAAUCCACGUGUACGCUACUUUAGCAAAGUUAUCUGUACAGCCCAAAUUUUCCCGGGCCUCCAAACUAAAUAGUUAACCCAAUCUCGAAGCCCAAUUACAAUACCCGGCCCAAGGCCCAAAAUCUAAAUUGGCCCAAUUGGGCCCAAAAAUUAAAAAAAAAACAUCAGGGAACCCUAGGGUUCCCUGCCUUUCCCAUGUGCGCCGCUCCCUCGGGCGUACCAUCCGUGCCUCGUCCCGAGGCUUACCUGACACCCUAGCCACCGCCAACCAAGCAUUGCACCAAAAUAGCAAGCUCCGCCUCUGUUGACCACCUGCAAGAAAAGGGAAAGAAAAGACUACCGAACAGAGGCAGAAACGACAACAAGUAGCAGCAAAAGUAUUGUAUAUUGGCUAUAAAAACGAAUACGAUUUCUCUGUAACAAGGGGGGAUUUUUGUAUAAAAAAAAAACACAGCGUUUUGAAACAAAGAAAUAAAAAGAAUAUAGAUCGAAUUCUGAGAAAGUUUUUUUUUUAGGUGCGAAUCUUUCGUUUUUUCGUUAUUUGGUUUUUAUUUUAUUUUAUAUAUGCAUUUGAUAAAUCAAAAAUAAAAAAGGGAAAAGACGGAGAGCUCUUACCGUGGCGCCNNNNNNNNNNNNNNNNNNNNNNNNNNNNNNNNNNNNNNNNNNNNNNNNNNNNNNNNNNNNNNNNNNNNNNNNNNNNNNNNNNNNNNNNNNNNNNNNNNNNNNNNUUGCUUUAUUUUCUUAAAGAAUGGCAGAUUAGAGUGAUUUGAAAGUUUUAUUUUAUUUUAUUUCUUUUUAAAAAUAUCAAACGGCGUCUUGUAAAGGAAAGAGGGUUGUGCAUUAUUACCCUAAUGGGUAUUUUACACAGUUAGUCCCUCCAAUUCUGUGACAGAUGCGACGCACUCUUUUAUUUCUUUUAAUUUCGGCCACGUAAUUUCUCGCCUGUUCCAAUCUGGUCCCGCGCAAAUCAAUGCGCAUACGUGAUGGGGAAUAUUGCGCAACCGAUCCCCCAUGCCCUCAGUGCCUUUUAUUUCAGCUCCUUUACCACCUAUUUCAUAUAUUUGCAGUUUAGGACCUGAUUUUUUAUUCUGUUUCAACCAUGUCCUCGAUAUAUUUAAUUUUUUUUAAAAAAAUAGGCUAUUUUAUUAUUAUUUGUUUUAAGUCCUUACAUUUAUUAUUUAAAUUUGUUUUACAUUAAACUCAUCUAUAUUCUUCACAUAUUUUUGAACUGUUUCUUUUAUCAUUUAUGAUUUUCUUUUAUAUAUUAUCUUAUUCUAGAUUGUUUUAGAUUAACUAGUAUUUAUCACGAGUCUUAUAUUUUAUUUAUUUCAAAUACAUGUGUACAUUUUUAUUUUUAUAAAUACAUACACGUUUAUAUCUUUACAUUCUCAUAUAAUAUAUACAUCUUAAAUUUUUACAUAUCUGCAUACAUUUUGUGAAAUAUAUCUGUAUGUAAAUAUUUUAUAUAAACAUGUACUUAUUUUCAUAUUUUUAUAAUUUGUAUNNNNNNNNNNNNNNNNNNNNNNNNNNNNNNNNNNNNNNNNNNNNNNNNNNNNNNNNNNNNNNNNNNNNNNNNNNNNNNNNNNNNNNNNNNNNNNNNNNNNACGUACCUUUUAUCUAUAUUUAUAUGCAUAUGUUCCUCAUAUAUUUUAUAAUCUCAAACUACGUACAUCUAUACAUUUUAUAAUACGUAUAUAUACCUAUAUCUUACAAUGUACAUAUUUUAAAAUACUUUAUUAUUUUAAAAUACGUAUAUAGAAACACACAUCUCAUUUUUCGUGUUACUUGAUGUUCAUUUAUUUGUUUGCGUAUACGUUCAUUAUUAUUUUAAAAGAACAUUUUAAUUCUAUUUGUUUAUUUACUUGUUAUCAAGUGAUCGAUUCAUCUCUUAUAUUUAUUUAUUCCAUUUUUUAUGAUUGUUUGUACCAUUUAUCCUUAACUUGUUAUAUUCGUUAUUGUNNNNNNNNNNNNNNNNNNNNNNNNNNNNNNNNNNNNNNNNNNNNNNNNNNNNNNNNNNNNNNNNNNNNNNNNNNNNNNNNNNNNNNNNNNNNNNNNNNNNAAACAUCAAAAGGAAGGUUUUUCUAAAUAAGGCAAUAAUUAGCGUUUGGGAAAUUCGAGAAAACAUGCCCUAAUGUGCUGGGUUUCGAUUUUUCUCGUUCAACCAAAUAGCUAAAUAUCCUUUUAAAAAUUUUUUAAAAUAAGGCAAUGUUUUGCGUUUGGAAAUUCGAGAGAACGUGCCCUAACGUGCUGGGUUUCGAUUUCUCGUUCGACCAAAUAGCUAAAUAUCUUCUUAACUUUCAAUCAAUAUUAUUAGAGUUUUCUUUAAGGAUCGUAUUUUUAAAAUUCUUCAAAGUUUUCAAUCUUCGACACUAAGACACUAAUUAAUCAACUAGGUACCAAUUUUGGGCGCAUCGAGGGUGCUAAUCCUUCCUCGUGCGUAACCGACUCCCGAACCCGUCUUUCUGAAUUUCGUAGACCAAAAAAGCGUUAUUUUAAUAAAUCGAACCGUUUAUUAAAAAUAGCCAUUUUUCUAAGGUGACCUGAUCACACCUUAUCAAAAAGGAUUGGUGGCGACUCCUGUUUCAUUUUUACUUUUCAAAACCCAAGUCGACUCGUUUUUUUUCAUCCAAAAAAUGGUGUCAACAGCUUGGUGACUCCACUGGGGACAAACACGAAAGUCAAGCCACGAGUUGAUUAAUUUUUAUCUUUUUGUCAAAAAUUGAAAAUUUAGUUUAAAAAUACGAUCCUUUCGUUGCAUUUUGUCUAUCAUUUUUUGGUCUUUAAUAGGUUUACUUUUUUGUUUAAGCCUUUUGAUAGUAUUGCACAUUGCAUUGCAUGACCACGGGUCACACCCUUUUAAGUGGGGGUGAGAAACUAGUCCUUCGUGAGGUUUUCACCUCCGUGCAGGAUAGUGGAUCGCUUCCGGAAUACAUCUGUACCUAUGUCUUCGUGAGAUUUUCAUCUCCGUGCAGCCAUAGGGAAAUGUAUUCCCCUGAAUCGAACUCGGUCUGUAUGAGCCUAUAAUGGGUGAAGAUCGAGGAAUCUGCUAGUUCGGGUACCUUGACUUUAAAACCAACCCUCAUAUAGUAGACUUAGGAACUUAACCUAGGUAGAGCCACUCCAAACCCCUAGUAUCUACCUGAUUAGGUACUUUUUGUUUUCUUUGUUUGCUUAUGUUUUGUACUAACCCCUCUGGUUGUAUUUUGAUUAUGAUUGCAUUGCAUUGCAUUUGCAUUUUAGGAAAGAGAUAUUGAUUCAAGUUCAAUUAUUAAAUAAGAAAGCUUGUCAUGGAAUACGGAUUCUUUGAUGAAGUGGAAAACAAUACGACUUCCCGAAUAUAUUCUGAGAAACACAAGAAUGGCGAUGGAAGAGUUCGUGGCCCUGCUUCGUGGCUUGAGGAUUCAAGGCAAUUGUCUAAGAGCCUUCAACAUUCCAACCCCUUAAAGAGGCGGACGAGCCUUAUGAGGACGGGCAGGUGAUGGAUUGCAACCAAGAUCAAGAGAAUGAGCUAGCAAUGGCAUCUAUUGGCGAGAUUACCUCAAACAUGCGGAUGAAGAAAAAGAUCGAUGUUGUUUCUUGGAAUAUGAGGAUGAGGCCGUACAUGUAUCCGUUUUAUGUAAGGGAAUUUGCUUUCUAGAAAAGUUUCCUAAAUGUAAUUGAAUCAGAAUCAACGUCUCUUUAGGCAUUCAUUUCAAGCAUUUGCAUCACAUUGCAUUACAUGCAUUAAAAUCCAUUGAAAGAGUCUAAACGAGUAAAUCUAUUUCAGCUAACCGGGAAAACCAACCAACCAAACACCCUUACGGUAUCCAAGCAAAGACUAGAGAAAUGGAACAAAGGUUGGAAAAAUUAGAGCGAAUGCAGAUCCUGAUGCAGGAGCAAUUGACUGAAUUUCAACAGGAGAUGAGAGAUCUGAUGCUAGAAUUACUGAGAACUAUGAUAAACCAGUUCAACAGAUUGCUAGCUGGAAAGUCAAAAGAAGUGCAAGACUCGGUGGUUUACUUUAGGGUUAAUAAUGAGGAUCUUGUCUAUUCCUUAGAUUGUACCCCGACAAGUGCCCAGGUCCAGCCAGAUGGGCGCCCACAAGGGGCACUCUUUACUAUCGGAUCCCAAUAUUAUCAGACUGGUACAUCGACACCAGUGAAUUGCCUGACAGGCUUAGGAUCCAAUUUGAAGAACGAUUUAGUUAAUCAUGUUGCUAAUCUAGCCGAAAUAAAGCAGAUGAGGGUAGAGUACCCAGAUAUUAUAAAUGCCCCAAGGAAAAAGAGGAAUAAAAAGGAUAACGCAGGCGGAUAUAACAAGGGCCACUCAAAACCAAUCACUAUGGGCAGGCCAAAGACGGAGACCACCAGCCAUCAGAGCCCUUUAAAGCAAGGACCUUGUGUGAAACAAGGUACGGAGAACCUCCAGUUUACGCCAAUCUCGAUGACGUAUAAGAAGCUAUAUCAAAAGUUAUUCGAUGCGCACAUUGUUUCCCCUUUCUACUCAAAACCCCCACAGCCUCCGUACCCCAAAUGGCACGAUGCGAAUGCACAAUGCGAAUACCAUGCGGGAAAUACGGGGCAUUCCAUAGAGAAUUGCAUUGCUUUCAAGAAACUGGUUGAAAAAUUCAUCAACAUGGGUGUUGUCAAGUUUGAGGACUCUAGUGCGAAAAAUCCGUUACCCAAUCAUAAUUGAUAAUGGAGCCAAUGUAAUGCACGGAGAAGAGUGGGAGGUGUUCACAUCGACGAAAAGCAAAUGAAAAUGGACCUUGUUGGAUACCUGUCCUUUUAAAUCUAGAGUGUUUUAAGCAAUUAGCUUGCGGAAGAGAUCCCUAUAGUUUUUAGAGCUUUUCUAGAGUAAUGUUUAGAACAUUUUGUUGUUUUUAGCCUAGAAAUGAUAGAAAUUCCUUUGUGAAAUAGGCUUAUAUCUGAACGUUGUUAUUUUAAUGAAAUACAUCUUUGCAAUUAUUACUGAGCCAAUAUUUUUAUUCUUUACAAACAAUUCCAGAUUCUUUCAUUCUUUUGAAGUUACUUCUAAAUUGUUAUUCAUUCAUUCAUAAUCAUAUUGUAUAAAUAAUCAUUCGUAAAUUUAUACAUUCUUUUUUAUAUUCUUCGGUACUUAUUACGGGUCUUCAGAUAUCAAUUACAUGAAUGACGCUGCUACAGACUCAGAUUUUCCUCUUGAGUGUGGCAUGUGUUUAGACGGAUCUCAUGGCUUUAGAAAUGACAUAGAUCGUAGCUUGUCUCCGGACUUAUUGAGGAGGGUUGAGCAGGAGGAUAGACGGAUCAUACUUCACAAGGAACCAUUAGAAAUUGAGAGCUUGGUGAAGAUUAGAACUGACCUGACUGCAAAGACGAAGCAAAACCUUGUUGAGUUACCUCUAGAAUUCAAAGAUGUCUUUGUAUGAUCAUACCAGAGUAUGCCUCGAUUCCUAUAAUGAAACCUGUACAACAGCACGUUGUCAGAAAUUUGCAGUGCGAACGAUGUAAUUCUUUGCCGGGGCAAUGCCUCUCUCGUUGAAUCAGCAUAGCUCCGCCCAUUUGAAGUCGAGUUUCCAUCCCUUCAAGAUGUUGUUGGGUCCAUCCUGAUUAAAGAGGAAGAUCCAAAGUUUUUGUCAAAGUUGCAUCCCAAAAGGCUCAGAUCAAAAAAGUGAAGAAAAAAGAAAAAUCAAAAUCAAAGUCAAAAUGAAAAUGAAAAUGAAAAAAAUAAAAAAACAAAAAAACAAAAAGAAGAAAGAAAGAAAAAAAUCAAAAUCAAAAUCAAAAUGAAAAUGAAACUGAGAAAAGGAAAGAAGAAUGAAAAAAAGAAAUCUAGAUGAAAAAAAUCAGAAUGAAAAAGAAAAAGAAAAAUAAAAGGAGAGGCCAAAGCGAAACCCGCAAAGGGCGCUUUGUGACCAAAUGAGGUUUUGAGUUGAAAACCCGAAAAGGGCGACUCAAAUUUCGAGCACAAUGAGGCAUGGACAUCACCAUUAUCGAAGACUUCUAAUGGGCAUUGCUUCAUUUUGAGAGGCUACUUCAUGAGCCAAAGUCAUCGUAUACCGAUACAGAAUUUCAGAGAAGAGGGUAUUGGAGAAUGCAUUGAGCUUAAACAAUGGCACGAUCGUUGAGGUCUCAAAUUAACUCAGAAGUGGACACCACGAUUCGUCACUGAAUUGCCUAGAGUUGAACAUCGAAAAUUGAAGGAAAAUGACUGAGACUUACAAGGAUUGGCAUGAGAAAUUACUAUUUGCCUUCAUUGCUUGUCGAACAUUUGUACCGGGGCAAUACCUUUCUCUUUGGCUUGCGGGGUUUAGGUAGUUUUACCUAUUGAAAUCUUUGCUCUCCGGGUAUUAGUUGAGUUAGAAUUAGAUGAAGCAGAAUGGAUCCAAUCGUGAUGUGAUCAGUUGAACCUAGAAAAAAGGUUAAAAGCUAUUCUUCAGGGUCGGAUGUACCAGAAAUAAAUGAUACGAGCCCGUAAUGAACAGUGUCAUCUCAGAGAAUUCCACGAGAGGGUUGGAUGUCGAAAAAGAUCAUUCCUCUCCAAAAGGAUUCUAGAGGGAAAUGAAUGCCAAACCGGGAAUGUCCCUACGUUGUAAAGAAGACAUUCUUCAGAAGAGCACUGAUCUUGAGUGAGAUUGCUAAUCCUAUAAACUCGGAUCCAGUCAAGAAACACUUCGUUUAAAGAAUGAGAAAUGACCAAGGUGAAAACCUGCAAAGGGCACUCUAAGUCAAAAAAAUGAAAAAGAAAAAUGGAGAGGCUAAGGGGAAAACCCGGAAAGGGCGCCUUAGGCCAAAGGGGAUUUGAGUUGAAAACCCGAAAAGGGCGGCUCAAAUAUUUGUUCAGAAUGGGGCAUGAAGCGAUCAGAGCGAUUCGAAUUUUGAUUAUAUUAGAGCAUGUGGUGAUCUUGCUCUGCCUGAAUUAACAGGAAAGGAUAAGCGGCAUAUUGGGGUAUCGAUAAAGCACUGUAGAUCUCCUAAACACAUGCCAAACUCAAAAUGGUCUUCAAAAAGUUUGUACAGAGAAGUUCAAGCUGCGAUAUCUGAGGCACCCAAUUCUCAUAUUAUUUGUUGUUCUUGGAAUACUUUUUUCCUUUCCAAGAUAUACAUUCCCAAUUAAUUUCUUUAUCAUCCUUCUUUACUAUUUUUGAUAAUUUGUUCUUUUUAGCUAUGCUCAGAACCAACUUUAUUCUUAUCCAUUGUUAUGACCUUUUUGCAAACGGGUUGCAUUGGAAUAAUGAUUAAUGGACUAAUAAAACUUUCACAAAGGAAGUUUUGCAUAUUACUCUGGAAAGUUUCUAAAUAUCACAGGAACCUGAAACAGGAUGAUUGUUUAGAACACACCAGGUAAAGGUUGGAAAUUUGAGAAGGAAGAGUCUAAAUUUGGACUUUCUCUUUAGAUUUCGUUGUCAAAUGCGUUGAUUGAACAAAAUGAUAAGAUGAUGGCUUAACGGCAAAGCUGGAAUGAACAAGCAAGCAAUAAUCAUCAGGCAGUAGGAAGAGGUUACCUCAGAGAAGAGAGCCUUCAUCUGCGCAUAAGUUUUGGUAUGACACCCUGAGAAUGGUGUAAGAAACCAGAAUGAUUUAGGUCAUGUAUCCUCGAUUUGUGAUAAGAUAGGACUGAGAUAAAAGCCACAUAUUUCUACCCUUGGAUUGUAAUGGGAGAAUGAUGGCACAAAUUGUGCGUCCCAAUGGAUUAAACUUUGAGGUUUACAGUGGGGGCAACCUGGCUAAUUGUUUCUCCAGAAAAGCCAGUCAGGCGAGAAGGUGUUAUAGCACGUCUGUCACAAAGCUUUAAUAAACUUCGAGUAAUGAAAACCUAAGCGGGAUCAUUCUUAAAAAAAAUAAUAAUAAUAAAAUAAAAUUCUGCAUUCAUGCAAACACCGUUCACACAUGUCUGGUUAGGAGUAUUUGAUUCAUUUUGAUCAUGUCAUCCUAAUCAUUAGGCAUAAUUAGGUUCAUUAUACAGGUCAUGUUCCCCAGAGAACAUAUCAGUGAAUAUUUCAGAUCUUAUCUCCCUGAGGUUACAGUGGAGCAGAUUGACGCCUGAGAUCUUAUCUCCCUGAGAUUACAGCGGAGCAGAUCGAGGACACUAUCCUAUCUCCCUGAAGUUAUAGUGGAGCGGAUUAAAAUAAAGGAUCCUAUCUCUCUGAAGUUACAGCAGAGCAGGUCACAUAAAGCCUUAUCUCCCUGAAGUUACAGUGGGGCAGGUUGAAUAUACAAGUCUUAUCUCCCUGAGGUUACAGUGGAGUAGACCGAAGAAUUUCAGAUCUUAUCUCCCUGAGAUUACAGCGGAGCAGAUCGAGGACACUAUCCUAUAUCGAGGACACUAUCCUAUCUCCCUGAAGUUAUAGUUGAGCGGAUUAAAAUAAAGGAUCCUAUCUCUCUGAAGUUACAGCAGAGCAGGUCACAUAAAGCCUUAUCUCCCUGAAGUUACAGUGGGGCAAGUUGAAUAUGCAAGUCUUAUCUCCCUGAGGUUACAGUGGAGUAGACCGAAGAAUUUCAGAUCUUAUCACCCUGAGAUUACAGAGGAGCAGAUCGAAGCCACAAACCUUAUCUCCCUGAAGUUACAGUGGGGCAGGUUGAAUAUGCAAGUCUUAUCUUCCUGAGGUUACAGUGGAGUAGACCGAAGAAUUUCAGAUCUUAUCUCCCUGAGGUUACAGUGGAGCAGAUUGGAGCUAGUAAUCCUAUCUCCCCGAAGUUACAGUGGAGCGGAUUAAAAUAAAGGAUCUCAUCUCUCUGAAGUUACAGUAGAGUAGAUCACAUCAGGUCUUAUCUCCCUGAGGUUACAGUGGAGUAAACCGAAGAAUUUCAGAUCUUACCUCCCUGAGGUUACAAUGGAGCAGGUCAAAGGUGUUAGAUCCUAUCUCCCUAAGCAGUAGUGGAGCAGAUCGAAGACGGCGAAUCUUAUCUUCCUAAGCAGUAGUGAAGCAAAUUUAAGCCACCAGUCCUAUCUCCCUAAGCAGUAGUGGAGCAGGUCAAAGAUGGUAGAUCCUAUCUCCCUAAGCAGUAGUGGAGCAGGUCAAAUAUGGUAGAUCCUAUCUCCCUAAGCAGUAGUGGAGCAGAUCACACCAAGUCUUAUCUCCCUAAGCAGUAGUGAAGCAGACAGAAAAAACCAAUCCUAUCUCCCUAAAGUUGCAGUGGAGCGGAUUAAAAUCAUAGAUCUUAUCUCCCUAAGCAGUAGUGGAGCAGAUCACAUCAAGUCUUAUCUCCCUAAGCAGUAGUGGAGCAGAUCACAUCAAGUCUUAUCUCCCUAAGCAGUAGUGGAGCAGACGAAAGAAACCGAUCUUAUCUCCCUAAGCAGUAGUGGAGCAGAUCACAUCAAGUCUUAUCUUCCUAAGCAGUAGUGGAGCAGACGAAAGAAACCGAUCUUAUCUCUCUAAGCAGUAGUGGAGCAGAUCACAUCAAGUCUUAUCUCCCUAAGCAGUAGUGGAGCAGAUGAAAGAAACCAAUCCUAUCUCCUGAAGUUACAGCAGAACGGAUUAAAAACAAAGAUAUUAUCUCUCUGAAGUUGCAGUAGAGCAGAUCGCAUCCAGUCUUAUCUCCCUGAAGUUACAGGGGAGCAGACUAAAACCACAAACAACGUCCCCCUGAAGUUGCUACGAAGAAGAUUGAAGCUACAAGUUAGAACUCUCUGAAGUGCAAUGGAGUGGAUCGAAGCAACAAGACACAGUGGGCUGGAAGAAUGCUACUUUAAGAGAAGCAUCAAGAGAAGUCAAAACUCGACGAGACCGGGAAAAUUUGGUCUUUCUUAGUCUUUGCUUCAUUCCCGUUACACGACAAUAAAGCAAAGAGGGGCAGCUGUACAGCCCAAAUUUUCCCGGGCCUCCAAACUAAAUAGUUAACCCAAUCUCGAAGCCCAAUUACAAUAUCCGGCCCAAGGCCCAAAAUCUAAAUUGGCCCAAUUGGGCCCAAAAAUUUAAAAAAAAAACAUCAGGGAACCCUAGGGUUCCCUGCCUUUCCCAUGUGCGCCGCUCCCUUGGGCGUACCAUCCGUGCCUCGUCCCGAGGCUUACCUGACACCCUAGCCACUGCCAGCCAAGCAUUGCACCAAAAUAGCAAGCUCCGCCUCUGUUGACCACCUGCAAGAAAAGGGAAAGAAAAGACUACCGAACAGAGGCAGAAACGACAACAAGUAGCAGCAAAAGUAUUGUAUAUUGGCUAUAAAAACGAAUACGAUUUCUCUGUAACAAGGGGGGGAUUUUUGUAUAAAAAAAAAACACAGCGUUUUGAAACAAAGAAAUAAAAAGAAUAUAGAUCGAAUUCUGAGAAAGUUUUUUUUUAGGUGCGAAUCUUUCGUUUUUUCGUUAUUUGGUUUUUAUUUUAUUUUAUAUAUGCAUUUGAUAAAUCAAAAAUAAAAAAGGGAAAAGACGGAGAGCUCUUACCGUGGCGCCGCCGAAGCUCUUCUUCUCUCCGUCCAAAUCAGAGUUGAG
rnacentral:lncRNA from 1 species